UACGAAGGGGGCUAGCGUUGUUCGGAAUUACUGGGCGUAAAGCGUGCGCAGGCGGCCUUCCAAGUCAGGGGUGAAAGCCCAGAGCUCAACUCUGGAAUUGCCUUUUGAGACUGUGAGGCUUGAGUACGGGAGAGGUGAGUGGAAUUCCCAGUGUAGAGGUGAAAUUCGUAGAUAUUGGGAAGAACACCGGUGGCGAAGGCGGCUCACUGGCCCGAAACUGACGCUCAUGCACGCAGCGUGGGGAUCAAACAGG
rnacentral:rRNA from 1 species